UGGAGUUUGAGCAAGCUUUUGGCCGGAUCCAACCAUUAUAUUUGCUCAUCUUACUCUUGGUUGAAGGAUGCCCAUCAAGAGAUUUGCUUCCAAGAGGGCUAGGAGGGAACCUACUCCUCCCGUGCAAGAACCAAGGUUUUCU